GAUGAAGAACGCAGUGAAAUGCGAUACGUAAUGUGAAUUGCAGAAUUCCGUGAAUCAUCGAAUCUUUGAACGCACAUUGCGCCCCCUGGUAUUCCGGGGGGCAUGCCUGUCCGAGCGUCAUUGCAACCUUCAAGCGCGGCUUGUGUGUUGGGUCUCGUCCCCCGUGGACGGGCCCGAAAGGCAGUGGCGGCGUCCCGACAUGGUGCCCGAGCGUAUGGGAAUCCUCUUCCGCUCGAAUCGGCCCAUGCGGCGCUGGUCGUAACCAAAUUUUUUACCGGUUGACCUCGGAUCAGGUAGGGAUACCCGCUGAACUUAAGCAUAUCAAUAAGCGGAGGA
rnacentral:misc_RNA from 1 species